GAUGAACGCUGGCGGCGUGCCUAAUACAUGCAAGUCGAGCGAACAGAUAAGGAGCUUGCUCCUUUGACGUUAGCGGCGGACGGGUGAGUAACACGUGGGUAACCUACCUAUAAGACUGGGAUAACUUCGGGAAACCGGAGCUAAUACCGGAUAACAUUUGGAACCGCAUGGUUCUAAAGUGAAAGAUGGUUUUGCUAUCACUUAUAGAUGGACCCGCGCCGUAUUAGUUAGUUGGUAAGGUAACGGCUUACCAAGGCGACGAUACGUAGCCGACCUGAGAGGGUGAUCGGCCACACUGGAACUGAGACACGGUCCAGACUCCUACGGGAGGCAGCAGUAGGGAAUCUUCCGCAAUGGGCGAAAGCCUGACGGAGCAACGCCGCGUGAGUGAUGAAGGGUUUCGGCUCGUAAAACUCUGUUAUUAGGGAAGAACAAAUGUGUAAGUAACUGUGCACAUCUUGACGGUACCUAAUCAGAAAGCCACGGCUAACUACGUGCCAGCAGCCGCGGUAA
rnacentral:rRNA from 1 species